AACGACAGAUUUGUACCUUGUCAGCUCGGGGGUUUGAACUCGCAACCUUCCGGUUACUAGUCCAACGCUCUAACCACUAGGCUACGCUGCCACCCCUCAUCAAAGGAAAGGUGAAUGAUUUUCUCAAUACCUGAACAAAAGUAGUUGUGAUGUUACUUUAGAUUUUUUGAUGUCAUGUACUGUACACCUUUUGUUGAUUUGCAAAGUCAAACCCUCUUUGGUGUGCAGAGUGGUCGUAUUGGAGCAGAGGAAGUGAUCAACGACACAGAUGGUAAGGAGGCUGAGGAGCUCUGGAUGAGCUGCUGAAGGAGGAGGUGGCCAAGACCCAGGCCAUCCUUCUGGAGAUGGUGAGAUGGGGGUCAUGUGGUUCUGUCCACCUAGCCUUGUAGAGGAUGCGCAUACUUUCAGGCGCGAUGGCAGAGCAGAUUUUGUAACACUCCACAUUACCACUUUGUGUACUGAUUGAUGUUGAAGAACCCAACACUAGUUAAUUAGCUGGUAAACAUAUUAGUGUUGUAAAGAUUAUAUGGUGGUUUUAUGAGAGUUUUGUGGUUUGAGACGUUGUCGUGUGUAUGUGCUUGUGUAGGUGGGUAAUCUUCCUGAUGCGGAAGUGAAACCUCCGGAGAAUGUUCUGUUUGUGUGUAAGCUGAACCCUAUGACUAUAGAGGAGGACCUGGAAAUCAUCUUCUCUCGCUUCGGACUUUCGCCCUGUCUAUUUCAACAUACUGGCCUCCAUGACACUACUAUACAUAUUUCAUUAGAAAUAGACCUAGUCCUAACCAUUUAAAAAUAGAAAGGAGACUUGGUAGAAUAUUGGUGUAUUAUCCUAUAUUAACGUGUUCUUAUUUCUGUACAGCUGUGAGAUCAUCAGAGACUUGAAGUCAGGAGAGUCUCUGUGCUAUGCUUUCAUUGAGUUUGAAAAGAAUAUGUUUGGUGUUCACUUGAUUUCUAUAUGUACCAUGAGUUAGCAUUUAGUAAUUUUAGCCCUCUUUAAACAUUGAACAAUGAUCCACUCAUAUUCACAAGUCCAAAUCAAGACUAAGCUAAAAAGAGAUUCAUUUUGGAACCGUUUAAGUGCAGUUAUGCAGAAUACAAAUAGAGGGCACCAGUUAGUCAAAAUUGAGAGUACACAUUAAUUCACUUGAAAGGGUUUUGUUUACUGAAUUGAUAGGUUGUUUCCUUAUUCACUAUACACAUAAGGGCUCAGUUAACCCUCUUAGAUAUAAUUGAUGUCAUUUCUCUCCACAGGAGGGGGACUGUGAAAAGGCCUUCUUCAAGAUGGACAACGUGCUCAUAGAUGACCGACUCGUACAUGUGGACUUCAGCCAGUCUGUCUCAAAGAUUAAAUGGAAAGGCAAAGGUGGGAAGUAUAUGAAGGAUGACUUCAAGGCCUAUGAAAAAUAAGUGGGAUACAAAUGAGCUCUUAAGGAUAAAGUCAAACCCAAGCCAGACUCCAAGUACGACCUGCUUUUAGAGGAAGAAGGAACAAGCCAUUGGCAUGCUGAGAAGAAACACAAAGACAAGAAGCACAAUCACUCAGACAACAAGGACACCAGGAAGUCCAAGAAAUCCAAGUGGGACAGGGAGGAACCCCGGUGGGAGAAAAAGACAGACUGGCAGCAUUCUCACUCCAGGGAAAGAGACGACGGCGAUGACCACCAUAAGCACAGCAUGUCCCAUGAAAAGCACCGCCCGGAGGGCCUUGACAAGGGCCACAGGGAGAGUAGCCGUAGUCACUCACCCAAGAAGUCUAAAGACAAGGAGAGGAGCAGACACCGAUGAUGAGAGAGGAAUGGGAUUGCGGUCCGUUCCAUUUCAACUUCCAUCAAUUAUGGAUUUGGAAAUUCCUCUUUAAAAAUAAAUGUCCGUUCUUUUCAUGAAUUUACUAAAUUUAAAUGGAAUUGGUCCUCCCAAAUACCUGCCUCUGUGGCCCCUACUACCCUACCACGACCACCCAUGUCUGGGAGAGCAGAACCAGGGACUCAUCAUGACUAAAACCUCAGCAGUUAGUAAGGUUGUGUAAGUAUAUUUGUUUUUUAGUUUGACUUAUACCUACCCCACCUCUCUUUCUCUGUUCAUCAAAAAGGGGGGUGAAUUAUUUUUUCCCCCCCAUGUUUGUCUUUGACCUUUUACUGUAGUUUCUUACAGAUUUUAUAGAGUAAAUAAAUUAAGUGGGCAUGGAAAACAUGAGUUGUGUUUCUGAGUGAGUGCACUGCAAGGGAAUUCCCUGUGUAACCCUCUCCACGAGGUCGGCCAGUGUGAUAUCACUGAAAUAGCAUGAUAUCUCACCUUCCACCUCGCUGCGUGAAAACAAGUGGGAGUAAGCUAUGCUAGCUGAAAGUUGUGUGGGCUACAUCUCUAAAUGAGGGAUCCUCUUUUGGCGACAGUUUUAAAUGUUUUGGGUCUGUGUAUCUUGGCAGUACUGUCAGAAAGGGUAUCAGUUAGCCCAACCUGAAUCCUGUGUUGGAAGUAUAUUGGGAUGUGAGGGGAAAACCAAAAGAGAGCUAGGCUAUAUUUAAUUCGAUACAGUCCUGACCAAAAGUGUUCAGAAUAAUGUUUUCAGCCUUGGCAGUCAUAGAAGAAUAGCACAGUGAGGGUUAGUGUGUGUGCAGCUAGCGAACAGUCGUUGAGUUUUCCACAGGGCCUCUCCUUGUGCAAUGCUGUGGGCCACCACUUCUAGCCCCCUCUGAGUUCCCUGAAUUAAAGCAAGAGAGACCCAAAUCAUUUCACAUUUGGUUGUUUCUCAGAAUGAGAUGCCAUUUUGAAGCUUCCCAAAAUGGGUUGUUUUUAACUUGUACUGAGUGUGGGGGUGGGGUGGUGGUGGAACCAGAUGGCUGUUGGAGGGAAGCCGGUGAGGUUUAGCGUGGUUCAAGUUGUAAAAAGACUGCAGAUAGACAGAGGUAUGUUUUGUUUUCCACCCCCAUAUCUAACCACUGUCAGACUUCCCCAACAGCCCACAGUACCUGAGUGAGAGCAAAUUGCACUUGACAAAAGGAGUGAAUAUAAUGGCACUGUAGAAAGCUAAAUCAUGAGCAGACAGUUGUAGGAUCCCACGGUCAGAAGCUGAUUCCCAUCAUUGACCAGAAUUAGGAAGAACUUGGGACCAAGGGAAGUGUACAGUCAGUCAUGCAUUUUGUUCCAGAGGCAGCCGGGUGUACAAAGUGAAAUGUCUCCCCACUGGGCACACACUGGUUGAUUCAAUGUUGUUUCAACGUAAUUUGUCAACAUAUUGUGAUGUGGAAGCAUAUGUGGAAAAUAAAUUGAAAACAGUAGUUUGAUUGGAUUUCAAAAAAAGUAAUCUCAUUUCAACCAGCAUUGUAAACACUGAAAUUAGGGUCAAACUUAACUAACAGGUUGUUACAUCAAUGUAUUUAAGUCAGUCAAUCUAAUUCCAACGUAAUCAUCAGAACUAUGUAUACAUUGAAAUUGUGUUAAAUACCACAAAUAAACGUUAAUCAUUUUCAUACUAUAUUGGGUGGUUGAAAUGGUUGAAUUUCA